rnacentral:snRNA from 1 species
AUCCUCUCAAGGCCAAUUUGGCUAAGAUCAUGUGUAGUAUCUGUUCUUUUUAGCGUGAUAGCUAAAACCCUCGGCACAGCCGGGGGAUUUCUUAUCACUUUGAUUUUUGUGGCCUCGACCUGAUGACGCAAUGUCUGACGGUCAAAAUGUCCCUCGCACCACAGUACCGCGUUGUGACGUUUGGCUUUC